rnacentral:rRNA from 1 species
CGGGAGGCAGCAGUGGGGAAUAUUGCACAAUGGGCGCAAGCCUGAUGCAGCCAUGCCGCGUGUGUGAAGAAGGCCUUCGGGUUGUAAAGCACUUUUGUCAGGGAAGAAAUCGUUCGGGCUAAUACCUCGGGCAGUUGACGGUACCUGAAGAAUAAGCACCGGCUAACUACGUGCCAGCAGCCGCGGUAAUACGUAGGGUGCAAGCGUUAAUCGGAAUUACUGGGCGUAAAGCGUGCGCAGGCGGUUUUGUAAGACAGGCGUGAAAUCCCCGGGCUUAACCUGGGAACUGCAAUUGUGACUGGCGGACUAGAGUUUGGCAGAGGGGGGUGGAAUUCCUGGUGUAGCAGUGAAAUGCGUAGA